ensembl:lncRNA ERCC6L2-AS1 ERCC6L2 antisense RNA 1
CCCUCUGAGGCCAGUAGCAGGAAGGGCCUCGGGAGUUGCGAGUGUCGCGAGGUUUGAGGUCGCUCGGUGGGCCGGGCGCUGUGCGAAGCUAGAAAUAACUGGGGGCAUGGAGAAUGCGGUGGCUGUAAAGGGCCGCUGAGGCGGUGGAGGCCUGGCAGAGAGCGUCCCCGCGGUCGCGGCUUCUGGCUUCUCUGUGGAGCUUGGUUCUUCCGUGGUGGUGCAGCACCCCAGGAACUUCAGGAACCAGUCCUUCCUUGGAGAGCUCCCCGGGACAGCCACGGGGGCCAAGUGAAACUAGCGCGUUUUCUUGGAUCCUACACUUUAUAGUGAGUCAUAAAUACUUUAAAUACAAAGCCAACAACAUUUGCUGCAAAUAAACGUAAAAAUACUGUUAAAGUGUAAAGUGUUUUCCUCCGUACCAUCUGACGUUUCUGGCGGUUCGUUGAACGCGAGAGAACGCUGAGCCGUCUGCACUGAGCCCGGGAGCAUCUUCAGGGCAGCGCCGCCCACGCGCGAGGUGAAUGAAGGACACGGCCUCUUGACACUCCCAGGCAGCACAGAUAGACGGAUCCAGACGAGGACCAGGCUGAAAGACAAGCUGAGGGAAAGACUAUGCCGUGCAGCAAAGUGCACAAAACUUAAGUGUAUACAGCUUGGUGAAUUUUUGGAUAUGAAUCCACCUGUGUAACCACCAUCUGGAGCAAAAUAUUGAACAUUUUAAGCAUCCCAGAAGAUUCUAUCAUGCUUCCUCCUAGCUCUAACCUCCUUCCGCCUAAAGAUCCCAGUUUCUGACCUGUAGCAUAGUCCCUCUCUCUGAAGAACUUCCUGUAAUAUUUUUUGCUAGGAAGAGUUUGAAGUUUGAAAUCCCAGAAUGAGGAAAUUCAUCCAGCUUGGAGACUUCCAAUCCCUUCAUUGUGCAGAAGGUUGCUAAUGCUCUCAGGAGAAGCCCUUCACCAAGAGAAUACUUCCACAUAGAGUCCUCUCCAUUGAGACUAAGGAAACAUGCUAUGUCAUGUAGCCACAGCAGCCUUUGCAGCUGUUGAAGGCAGCAAGACUUGCAUGGCAAUCAGAAGACACAGAACCAAGACUCAUAUCCAGUUAUAAGAUGGCAGAUGGGACACACACUCAUCAGGCUUAGUGAGCAGCCAAUCCAGAGGGAACCAUACUC